rnacentral:rRNA from 1 species
GGGAAACUCACCAGGUCCAGACAUAAUAAGGAUUGACAGAUUGAUAGCUCUUUCUUGAUUUUAUGGGUGGUGGUGCAUGGCCGUUCUUAGUUCGUGGAGUGAUUUGUCUGCUUAAUUGCGUUAACGGACGAGACCUUAACCUGCUAAAUAGUGAGGCCUAUUCUCGUGAUAGACUUAUCGCUUCUUAGAGGGACUUUAUGCGUUUCAGCAUAAGGAAGUUUGAGGCUAAAA